UUCUGGUCUCUUGCAGUAGGUCGGGUCCGCAGAGAGGAGCGAGAGGCAGAGACGGCCUGGAAACGCACGGCGGUGACGGAACUUUUUUGAGCGUCGCGAGCAGACUCGUCCUUCCUAAAGUUCCUCCAAUCAUGGUACAGAAGCCCAGCAUACCCACGGGAACGCGAAAAUCACGCAAGACGAUCCGUCACCUGUGAUAAACAGCUGAUUCUGAACAAACCAAGCGCCACAGGAGCACACUACAUCAGCGUCUCCGACCACAAGCCUGUACUUCAUCAUCUCUUCAACACAAGCGUCCUUGCUGAGGCAGAGAAUGACACUGAAUUGACCAAAGAUACAUUCAAGCCUACUUGAACGAGAAAUACUCAGAUGACCUGCUCACUAUCACGUCUCGUCUUGGUCCACAAUUCAGCUUUUCCUGGCUCAAAAUUUGUACACCAUGCUAUGUAGCGUGUUUGUUGUGUUUAUGUCCAUAUUGUUCACUUGUAGAGCUUUCACAUCUGAUGUCCGAUGUUCCUAAUGUAAAAUGUGUAAAUACUAUGUCAAUAUUACCAAGUUGCACUUUUAUUUUAUUUUUCUGAAACUCCAUUACAGAGUAAUGUUCCUCAGCUUUAGAGAAUAGCAUUAAUGAAAGUUUUUAUUAUUCCUUUGUUUGAAUGUUACGUAUAUGUAUAACUUAAAAGGUUUAAGAACUAUUGUUCUUGGGAUUGUUUUCCUACUUACCUCCUGUUCUAAUACCUGUUCAAAUUCAAUAUGCGAGUUGUUUAAUGCAAAAUCUGCUCAAUAACAAGCUUCUGUUUUGUGACCACUUCAUUGUAAAUCAAAUUUUUAACCUGUACUAAUACUUUUGUAGACAUUAAAAUGAUUUUUCUACACUAAA